AUUGAACGCUGGCGGCAGGCCUAACACAUGCAAGUCGAGCGGAAGAAGGGUGCUUGCUCCUGGAUUCAGCGGCGGACGGGGGUGUAAUGCCUAUGAAUCUGCCUGGUAUGGGGGGAUAACGUCUUGAAACGGGCGCUACUACCGCAUACGUCCUGAGGGAGGAACAGGGGGAUCUUCGGACCUCACGCUAGCAGAUGAGCCUAGGUCGGGUUAGCUAGUUGGUGGGGGAAAUGGCUACGAAGGCGACGAUCCGUAACUGGUCUGAGAGGGUGAUCAGUCACUCUGGAAGUGAGAAACGGUCCAGACUCCUACGGGAGGCAGCAGUGGGGAAUAUUGGACAAUGGGCGAAAGCAUGAUCAAGCCACGCCGCGUGUGUGAAGAAGGUCUUCGGAUUGUAAAGCACUUUAAGUUGGGAAGAAGGGGAGUAAGUUAAUACCUCGCUGUUUUGACGUUACCAACAGAAUAAGCACCGGCUAACACCGU
rnacentral:rRNA from 1 species